rnacentral:rRNA from 1 species
GUGGGGAAUUUUGGACAAUGGGCGAAAGCCUGAUCCAGCAAUGCCGCGUGUGUGAAGAAGGCCUUCGGGUUGUAAAGCACUUUUGUCCGGAAAGAAAUCUGUCUGGCUAAUACCUAGAUGGGAUGACGGUACCGGAAGAAUAAGCACCGGCUAACUACGUGCCAGCAGCCGCGGUAAUACGUAGGGUGCGAGCGUUAAUCGGAAUUACUGGGCGUAAAGCGUGCGCAGGCGGUUUUGUAAGACCGAUGUGAAAUCCCCGGGCUUAACCUGGGAACUGCAUUGGUGACUGCAAGGCUAGAGUGCGUCAGAGGGGGGUGGAAUUCCGCGUGUAGCAGUGAAAUGCGUAGAGAUGCGGAGGAACACCGAUGGCGAAGGCAGCCCCCUGGGAUGACACUGACGCUCAUGCACGAAAGCGUGGGGAGCAAACAGGAUUAGAUACCCGUGUAGUCC